GACGAACGCUGGCGGCGUGCUUAACACAUGCAAGUCGAACGGAAAGGCCUCUUUCGGGGGGUACUCGAGUGGCGAACGGGUGAGUAACACGUGAGUAACCUGCCCUUGACUUUGGGAUAACUUCAGGAAACUGGGGCUAAUACCGGAUAGGAGCUCCUGCUGCAUGGUGGGGGUUGGAAAGUUUCGGCGGUUGGGGAUGGACUCGCGGCUUAUCAGCUUGUUGGUGGGGUAGUGGCUUACCAAGGCUUUGACGGGUAGCCGGCCGGGGAGGGUGACCGGCCACAUUGGGACUGAGAUACGGCCCAGACUCCUACGGGAGGCAGCAGUGGGGAAUAUUGCACAAUGGGUGGAAGCCUGAUGCAGCAACGCCGUGUGCGGGAUGACGGCCUUCAGGUUGUAAACCGCUUUCGCUCAUGACGAAGCUUUGUGUGACGGUAGUGGGUAAAGAAGCACCGGCUAACUACGUG
rnacentral:rRNA from 1 species